GUUAUCUUUUAAAGGUCUUUUGACCUUUUGUGAGAGGCCACUUUUUGACCACCUAGGGGAAGCUCCGGGACACUUUUUUGCCAACCGUGGGAGACAUUUUCUACAGGAGAUAGAGCACGUCUCUAAAGUGACCUGUUAAAGACAGGGAAAGUUGGAUAGAGCUGGAAAAAGAAAAACCAGAGGGAGAAAGGAGUAACAGAGGGGAGGAAAACCAGGAGAGGAAGAAGAAGGAUAGCUUGUUGAGCUCUUGCAGAUCUUGGGGAGAGGACACAACUUGCCUGAAGCCAAGCCAACACUACUUGGGAGGAGUUAUUCCAGGUAGAUCCACUGAUUCCAAAUAUUUUUCCUAGCAGCACAAUGCUUCUAUUGCUCUCCCUUGUAUCAGGAACGUGCAGAACAUGACAUAAGGGAUGCUUGACAUGUUUUAAGUAUUUAAAGUCUCCUCACUUUAGAGUAGUACUUCUUGUGGCCAAGAACGUUUGCACAAUGUCUAGUUUUCGCAUAGGCAUAAUAGUUGCCUUUGAAUUUAUGGUGUUUCCUUUUAGGAUCAUAGAGAGAAUUUUUCACCUUUUCAUUUUCCUUCUAGGAUGUGUAAUUAUAUUAGAAUUGGACUUAUCAGAGAUGUCUUCUUCUAACACUUUUUUUUUUUCUUUUCACUUUCAUUAUUUUCAUGUUGUAUUCUCAAUCUUAUCACAAGGUCAUCAAGCCCCAUAUUUUCGUUGUGUUA